rnacentral:rRNA from 1 species
AGGAUUAGAUACCCUGGUAGUCCACGCCGUAAACGAUGAUAGCUAGGUGUCGGGGCGAGAGUUUCGGUGCGCAGUUAACACAAUAAGCUAUCCACCUGGGGAGUACGGUCGCAAGAUUUGAAAACUCAAAGGAAUUGACGGGGGCCCGCACAAGCGGUGGAGCAUGUGGUUUAAUUCGAAAGCAACGCGAAGAACCUUACCGGGGUUUGACAUCCCGCUGACAGCAUUGGAGACAGUGUUCCCUUCGGGGCAGCGGAGACAGGUGGUGCAUGGUUGUCGUCAGCUCGUGUCGUGAGAUGUUGGGUUAAGUCCCGCAACGAGCGCAACCCUUAUGUUCAGUAGCCAGCGGGUAAAGCCGGGCACACUGGAGAGACUGCCGCGGAUAACGCGGAGGAAGGCGGGGAUGAGGUCAAAUCAUCAUGCCCCUUAUAUCCCGGACUACACACGUGCUACAAUGGCUCAAACAAAGCGAAGCAAGCCGGCGACGGGGAGCGAAUCGCGAAAUUGAGUCUCAGUUCGGAUUGAAGUCUGCAACCCGACUUCAUGAAGUUGGAAUCGCUAGUAAUCGCGGAUCAGAAUGCCGCGGUGAAUACGUUCCCGGGCCUUGUACACACCGCCCGUCACACCAUGGGAGUUGGAAGCGCCCGAAGUCUGUGACCCAACCGUAAGGAGGGAGCAGCCGAAGGUGAAGCCAGUGACUGGGGUGAAGUCGUAACAAGGUAGCCGUAA